GGAUUAGAUACCCUGGUAGUCCACGCCGUAAACGAUGUCAACUAGCCGUUGGGGAUCUUGAAUCUUUAGUGGCGCAGCUAACGCAUUAAGUUGACCGCCUGGGGAGUACGCCGGCAACGGUAAAACUCAAAGGAAUUGACGGGGGCCCGCACAAGCGGUGGAGCAUGUGGUUUAAUUCGAUGCAACGCGAAGAACCUUACCAGCCCUUGACAUGUAGCGAACUUUCUAGAGAUAGAUUGGUGCCUUCGGGAACGCUAACACAGGUGCUGCAUGGCUGUCGUCAGCUCGUGCCG
rnacentral:rRNA from 1 species